rnacentral:rRNA from 1 species
UACAGAGGGUGCGAGCGUUGUCCGGAAUCAUUGGGCGUAAAGCGCGCGUAGGUGGCCACAUAAGUCCGUUGUGAAAGUCAAAGGCUCAACCUUUGAAAGCCGAUGGAUACUGUGUGGCUAGAGUACGGAAGAGGCGAGUGGAAUUCCUGGUGUAGCGGUGGAAUGCGCAGAUAUCAGGAAGAACACCCGUGGCUAAGGCGGCUCUCUAGUACGGUACUGACGCUGAGACGCGAAAGCGUGGGGAGCGAACAGG